AUCGGGCUGGCUCAGUCGGUAGAGCAUGAGACUCUUGAUCUUGGGAUUGUGAGUUCGAGCCCCACGACGGGUA
rnacentral:tRNA from 1 species